rnacentral:rRNA from 1 species
GCGCAGCAGUCGCGAAUCUUCCACAAUGGGGGAAACCCUGAUGGAGCGACGCCGCGUGCGGGAUGAAGGCCCUAUGGGGUUGUAAACCGCUGUUCAGUGGAAAGAACACCCUCCGGCUGAAUAGGUCGGAGGCCUGACGUUACCACUGCAGAAAGUCCCGGCCAACUCCGUGCCAGCAGCCGCGGUAAUACGGGGGGACGAGCGUUGUCCGGAAUCAUUGGGCGUAAAGGGCGCGUAGGCGGCGAGGAAAGUCGAAUGUGAAAUCUUGCGGCUCAACUGCAAAACUGCGUUCGAAACUUCCUCGCUUGAGUAUGAGAGAGGUGUGCGGAAUUCCUGGUGUAGCGGUGGAAUGCGUAGAUAUCAGGAGGAAC